rnacentral:rRNA from 1 species
AUACGUAGGGUGCGAGCGUUGUCCGGAAUUACUGGGCGUAAAGAGCUCGUAGGUGGUUUGUCGCGUCGUCUGUGAAAUUCCGGGGCUUAACUCCGGGCGUGCAGGCGAUACGGGCAUAACUUGAGUACUGUAGGGGAGACUGGAAUUCCUGGUGUAGCGGUGAAAUGCGCAGAUAUCAGGAGGAACACCGGUGGCGAAGGCGGGUCUCUGGGCAGUAACUGACGCUGAGGAGCGAAAGCAUGGGUAGCGAACAGGAUUAGAUACCCUGGUAGUCCAUGCCGUAAACGGUGGGCGCUAGGUGUAGGGGUCUUCCACGACUUCUGUGCCGUAGCUAACGCAUUAAGCGCCCCGCCUGGGGAGUACGGCCGCAAGGCUAAAACUCAAAGGAAUUGACGGAG